UACGUAGGGGGCAAGCGUUGUCCGGAUUUAUUGGGCGUAAAGAGCGUGUAGGCGGCUAGAUAGGUCCGUUGUGAAAACUCGAGGCUCAACCUCGAGACGUCGAUGGAAACCAUCUGGCUAGAGUACGGAAGAGGCGAGUGGAAUUCCUGGUGUAGCGGUGGAAUGCGCAGAUAUCAGGAGGAACACCAAUAGCGAAGGCAGCUCGCUGGGACGUUACUGACACUGAGGCGCGAAAGCGUGGGGAGCGAACAGG
rnacentral:rRNA from 1 species